rnacentral:rRNA from 1 species
UACGUAGGAUGCAAGCGUUGUCCGGAUUUACUGGGCGUAAAGCGCGCGCAGGCGGCAAGGUAAGUAAGGUGUGAAAUCUGUCGGCUCAACCGGGAGGGUGCACUUUAGACUGCUUUACUUGAGGUCGGUAGAGGGGGGUGGAAUUGCUGGUGUAGCGGUGAAAUGCGUAGAUAUCAGGAGGAACGCCGGCGGCGAAAGCGACUCUCUGGCCUGUAACUGACGCUGAGGCGCGAAAGCUAGGGGAGCAAACGGG